rnacentral:lncRNA from 1 species
AUUGAUGCAGAAUCCAAGAUUAACUAAUAUGAUAGAAAAAAUUCCAACAUAUAAUUUAGCAUAAAAACUUAAUCUCCAAAAAUCAUUCAUACUUAACCCAAAAUCAACUUGUGAUUGAGAAAUAAGGUAAUUGAGAAAAGAAAUAAGAAUUAAUAAAAUACUAUAAGAUUACCUCGAUAAGUAGAACAAAUUCUCCAUUCAAUAAGACG